AUGCAAAUGGCAACCAUCAUCACUUUUCCUGGUCCCUUGAAGAACACUGUUGCUGUUCUGGAGCGUGGCUUGGUGUUUCCCAAGAAAUCUCUGUAUUCUCUUAAUAUUUUUUGGUUUCUAAACAGCUGUUCUCUGUAUUCUAUUUCUGCCUCCUUACGUAGCUUUUUCUCUCUAGCAAGAGCUUCAGGGCUUCCCCAAACUUCCAAAGAUCUAGAUUUGAGGCAGAACUCAUUUAUUGCUCUGACUCCAGUGAUGAAAUUAUUCUGAGUGUAUUUUGAUCCAUACUCCCUUUUCUUAAGAACUGCUUUGACCUUUACUUGGAGAGGUUCUUGCUUUAGCGGAGCUUUGAGUUUUGCACCUGUAUUUUCUGCUGUUUCACCAAAAGAUGGUAAUUUUUCUGCUCUGAGAGUUUGUGAUCCCUGUCCUUCUUUCUGGAUAUUUGUAGAGUACAACUUCACUUGGCUCAGUGUACAAAUAUGUGGGUGAUGAUAGGGAAGCAUGUAUGCAAAGUUUCCAAAUGUCACUAAAUUCUGCCAUUCCUGGCGGUCGCUGGAGCCGCGGGCCACUGCCUUACAGCUCAAACGGAGCCGGCACAGAAAAGAGCAGCUCCAUCUGUGGGCCGCAGAGGCGGCGGCUAAGCCCGGUAACAUCCUUGUGAGGCAGAUGCUCCCACUCGGACACCGCCACCUGCCUCCGCGCCGCCGCCGGCACCAACUGACUCCAUAGACUGGAUACUAGAAAACACCAAUGUUUGCGCCUUCAGCGGCGGCCUCAGCGACCCUAGGACUGUUGGUUUUUAACAGUAAUACAAGAAAUUUCCAUAUUGUUUUCCAAAAUGGUUUUG
rnacentral:lncRNA from 1 species